rnacentral:rRNA from 1 species
UACAGAGGGUGCAAGCGUUAUCCGGAUUCACUGGGUUUAAAGGGUGCGUAGGUGGGUUUGUAAGUCAGUGGUGAAAUCUCCAAGCUUAACUUGGAAACUGCCGUUGAUACUAUAAAUCUUGAAUGUUGUGGAGGUGAGCGGAAUAUGUCAUGUAGCGGUGAAAUGCUUAGAUAUGACAUAGAACACCAAUUGCGAAGGCAGCUCACUACACAAAGAUUGACACUGAGGCACGAAAGCGUGGGGAUCAAACAGG